rfam:Oryza nivara chromosome 1, whole genome shotgun sequence.
AAAAAGAUAAACCCUGGUUUCCGUGCCCAACGUUUGACCGUCCGUCUUAUUUGAAAAAAUUAUGAAAAAAAUUAAAAAGACAAGUCACGCAUAAAAUAUUAAUCAUGUUUUAUCAUCUAACAACAAUGAAAAUACGAAUUAUAAAAAAAUUUCAUAUAAGACGGACACGUAAACCUAGGGUUUGCCUUUUUU